CGAAUUGACGUGACGGCUGUCACUCCUGCCCUUGUCUUUGGCGCCCCUUGCGGAGGCCGUCAGCUAUAAUCGCCCGGGGCCUGGGGCGGGGGGAGGUGCCAAGGGGGCCGUAGCUGCCCCGAGGUCUCUUCUGGACGAAGCCUAAGUGCGGGGUUGCCUGGGUGGUAGGUGGUAGGAGUCCCGCACCUACGCCGCUGUCAUGGUGAAGAACAGUAUCCCCAACGGAUGGAGGACCAUGACCCCAACUGGACACCCUCUACCUGGAACCCGAUUUAUUGCUUUUAAAGUUCCAUUAAAAGGGUAAUCUUGGAAUGGAUGUCUGGAAUUGUGAUGAAGAUACAGAUCUCCCAGCCAAUUCUAUGGAAGAAUCCAGGGAUUGGCCCCCAAUUGAAGACUUUUGUGGAUAAAUAUUAGUAACCUGGUUUUAGAUGAAUAUUUUAUUAAGGUUAUGAAACAUAUCCUUUGAUAAUGGUAGAGCAGAGGGGGGAAAAACCACAGGACUGGGAAUCAGGAAAUUUAGGUUCAAAUCUAAUCUCUGCCACUUACUAAUUGUAUAUGAUCUAGAACAACAGAUGUAAGCUUUUCAGGCCACAGUUGUUUAAUGUGUAACAUAAAACCAUUGGACCAAAUCAGUUUUCGUUAAGCUGUAUUCUAAGGACAUAUGAAACUAGUGUUUCAUGAGAGAUGACUAGUUUUCCAGGAAAAAAAAAAAGUUUGUUUCUUGUUUUUUUGUCAGAUAAAUUUGGGAAAUGCAGUCUAUUAUCACCAUGAACAUUAGUGCAUUAAAAUCCUUAGAAGUCAUGCAGUAAAGAGAUUUAUUAAAUUUUACUUAACCCAGCAUUUCCCCAACUUAUUUGAGCACAGAACUCUUCUUUUUUCCACAGAACAAGCAUUAUCAUGAUGUGGGACACUAAUGUUCUCCAAACUGAGAAACAAUGAACUAGGUCUGGGAAAAAAAUCAAGGCUUCUUAAUGAUCUGCACCCUCAAAAUGGUAUACAGAGAGAAGAGUAUGAUUAUGUCAACAAUGACCUGCCCAGAGGCAUGGGGAUUUUUAUGAACACCAGUGUAAUGACAGCAUACCAGAAGAAAGACUCUUGAGUGACUGGGAUUUUGGUAGCAAGGGACCAGUACCAAGAUGUUCAUUUUUUGAUGAUCACCAGUGUUAUGAUGUCUCCCAAGAGGAGAAAGAUUUCAGUAACAAGAUACCUGGAUCAAGACCAAGACCAUUUCAUGAUCACCAGCCUCACAGUGACCUCCACGAACCAGACCCUGGAGAUGAUUUUUAUUUUAUUAAAAAAAGUUCAUGGACAAAGGAUGCAUUCUAUUCAUAACCAGCAGGCCAAUAGUAACUUUCAAGAACAAUGUUCAACGGAAAAUUUUGGUUUUGUUAACAGAGGUCAGGGACAAAAACAACGACCUUUCCAUAACCACCACGAGUAUUCACUUAAAUGUGAUUUUCAGGACCAGUUACCUGAACAAGGUUUAAAUUACUUCACUAUAGGUGGUUUUCAAAGGCAAAGACCUUUCCACUGACACUAUUCUCAUGAUGAAAUGAAUUUAGAAGAUUUAGAUUAUACUGAUGAAGUAUCAGGGCAUACACUGGUAGCUUUACAUGACCAUUCCAACAGUGAUUUCUCAGAGAAAAUUCCAUUGAAGAAAUAUGUUAAUAGAUGCUAUGGACAGAGACUACCACCCUUUCAAAAUUUUCAAAAACAAGUGCAGUUAAGAAAUUUUGAUUUCAACAGUAGAACUGGACCAAGAUAAAUAUCUUAUUAUGACCACCCAACUUGUGAUCCACAAGAACAGAUACUAUUAGAGACUUGGACUUUGAGCAUGAAACAUCCUUACAAAGACCAAGAUCCUUUCGAUCCCACCCACUUCGUGAUAACAUAAAUACCAGUUGGUAUUUAGACAAGAAUUUUGGCACUGAUAAUUGCAGAGGCAGAAGUCAGAGACUUGCCUUUCUAGAAGACAGUAGAAGAAUACAUCCUUCAGAUGGAUUCAGCCACUGAAGGACAGAACAGAUUCACAACAUACUCCUCAAGCAGACUUCCGUCUUCUUAUGUACUCCAAGAAGACGGUUCAGCAGCUGACUCUUGUAGAGGUAAAAAUCCAAGAAAUAUGGAACAGCACAAAAGUUCAUAUUUUUAAGCUAUUGAACACUAUUAUGAUAUAUCUGUAGAUUAUGGAACUCCAGAGAAAGAAUUUUAUGAUUUACCAACAAGAAAAAACUACAUUUGGUGCUGAGUAGUUCACUUUAAAAUCUAUUUAUUGUUUUAUCUGUAUUUGCCCCUAUUUUCAUUGUUUAAGAGACAAAAAUCAUUUCAAAGUGAAAAAGUUGUAUGUGAAAAGACAACAUGUAUUAUAAAAUUAGCCAUCUAC